CCGAUGCGGGGCUUGAACUCACAAACUGUGAGAACAUGACCUGAGUCGAAGUCAGACGCUCAGCCGACUAAGCCACCCAGGCACCCCAUAAGACAUUUUCCUAGUCUCAGAGCUGGACCUGUAUUUUUAAGUUAAAUACCCACAAUUUAAAAAAACUCCCUUAACUCCUCUUCAGGCACUUUUAAUCAGAAACAAUCAUAGGAGACAUAGUAGAAGAUUUAUUCUAGUAUUUGACCUGUAAGUGCAAUUAAGAGGAGGUAGAUCUGGGCUGUGUGAGGUGCCGGAGCCUAAAAUCCACGGUGCGGGCUGUUGGGGAGGGACAAUGAGUGUGAAGUGGGGGACACAGGAACAGACUGGAACCUGCAAAAUGGGGCCAUGAGGACACUUGUGUCAGUCUCACUACCUUCAGAUGUCCAGCUUCAGUGAUGAGGACAAGGGACUGGGCUAAACGCUCACCUGGCCCAGCAGCUGGGGAAAGCUAGAAUGAGUCAGACAAGAGCUGAUGGUGCUGAGCCCAGGUGCUGCCCAGGACCCCGGAGGUGGACACAAAGCAGGAUGGCCAUUGCCUUACAUCUCUCACCUGCCAGCCCUCCAGAGUUCCCAACAGCAGGCUACACCUAAACUGGGAAGGAGCUUCAGGUUCCUUCCCAAGUUGUUGCUUGUACAGAGGAGGUGGCAGCUGUGUCCAUGGACAAUCUGUUGGGGGAGGCUGAAGGCAAGGUGAGCUGGAGGUACAGAACCUCCUCACAGCCUUGUUUUCUGCUCAUUAGCUUGAUUUCCACCAGAACAGAGGUUAUGAAAAUGGUUUGAAGGGAGUUUCACCCACAGGAUCACUGGGGUUUGUCUGUUAACAUCCUGGGGCUUAUUUUCUCUCUUAGAUGGGGAAGCGCUCACAGUGUGUACAGUUUGGAGGUGGUGAGUCUGGGAUGUCCAAAGAAGGGAGAGGCCCUGACUGUGCAGGCCAUGAUCCCCCUCUGAAUGGGUGCCUAGUGUCUUUGUCCUGAAGAUGCUUCACCGACAUGUGCUUUCUUCUACCCUCCAGGAGAUCAGCUGUCCGUGUGGCUCUCCCUGGUCUGAGUGGCUCCUUGGAGGAGUUGGCUGUGGUCCAGGGAAGAGGUUGGACCCAGGUUCUUCAACGGAGAUCCGAUCUGCAUCAGUCACUCUCUCAGGGGCCGCCAGAUGGCAGUGUUGGCUUGCCCAGUCUAAGCCACCCUGCCAUAGAAGAUCUGCUCUGCAAAGAAGCAGGUUGCUGGCCUGUGCUCUGCCAGUGCACAGACUUUGCUGAGUCUGUGGGAUGAACCCAGCAAAAUUGAAUAGAAAUCAUAUUCUCUGCCGAGGGUAACUCCUCACUUGCUGUCCACCAUCAUCCCAGAAGGCAGAGACCUCACCCGCUUUGCACUCCUGGCUCCAGACCCAUGUCCACCAUUAUUGCUUAAUAAAUAUUGUUAAACUGGUUAAUCAUG